GUUUCACUAUGACCACAGACUUUUGGAAUGGAGAAUGUUCACAAAUUCUCAUUCCUUUACAAGUUUCUGUUGAGUAUUAACAAAUUUCUGUAUAUUCCAAUCUCACAGGAAAAAUCUAUUUGAGCAACAAUUUUUCCUGUUCUAAUUUUAAAAGAUCUCAAACUAAUACUGCUACUUUUGUUGAUCAAAGGCGUUUAACAUUUAUCUUCAUCUUUAGUCUCCAGGGUGUUGAGGUAUAUGAUAAACAAGAACACAACUAGCUAUUCCUACCACUCCACACACUUCUGUUGUGCUUCCUAUUUCCACAGCCUCAGGUCUUGUCCUGGACACUGCUUCCCACGGGAGGUUGUGGGAAAGGAGACUCCCUCCAAAGCAAGUGGCCAUCGUGCUGUGCUGGCUGUUCCUGAGAUCCUCCUGUUCUCCCUGACAAGGGAUGGGAUGGUAAAAGCCCAACCAGCAACUGCUGGUGUUUUGAGGUUGACAAGCACAUGCCUGAAGCCCCUGAAACCUGUGGAGCUCAGCAGAGUGCCCUGCAGCUCACCAAGGACCAGCAGCUCUGUCGUCCCUUUGUCCCUUUGCUGUUCUGCAGAACCAACCAAGUGGCAUCCACACAGAUCCCACGGACUCUUGGGAGCUGGAUCCAGCCAGAGACAGGUGGGCACAGGAAAUCCAACAUCCUCUGCACUGACUGCACAGGGAGAUCUCUGCCUCUGGUCCCACACGAUAUGGACCUCAAAACCACAGCCACAGACCACCUGUAACAGGUAAAAGUUCAGCUCAGGGUCAUUAAUAUAUUUCUUAAACUCUGUGAACGCAACAGCAAAAUUUAAAAGCUUCUCUAACACUU
rnacentral:lncRNA from 1 species